GUUGGCAGUUUAUCUUUAGGCCCACAUACUCCGUUUUAAUCUGAUUGGAGGAUGGUGCUAUUUAUACAGGUUUAGUGGGUGGUUUGUUAAAGUGGCAGAGCAACCUGAUCUUGACCUUCUGGAGCACCCAAAGAUGGCCAAAGAUAUAGAGUAACUCUACUACGACUUCUGCUUUCCCACUCUGCCCUUUAUUGAGCAGAUUUCACAGAAGACGUUGUUGUGAGCAGAGACGGCCAUGCCAUCAGGCAGAGUGAAGCAGCCAGUCACCUCAUACAAGACAUGUGAAGGGAAAUGGCAGCCUAGUGUUGGGGGACACCGCUGUAAGUGCCACACAGUCUGCCCUGCACCCCCUAAGUUAAUCUGCUGCUCUCGGCUACAGUAGAAGGUGCUUUUCUGCCACCAGCAUUGAAGUAAGUUUCAACUGUCAGUUUGGCUGGCUUCUGUAUGUGGGAUGCCAUUUUGCCCUUUGCCUCAGACAACAUAAUUUCUUGUGCUGGCCCUGGUCAUGCAGCACAUGCAUUAGUCCUGACCACAGCUAUUUGGAUCUGGACAGCAACUAGCCCUGGCGUCUCCAGCCACAACCCAAUCUAUAAAUCUUUAAAGUCUUUUGUAAAGCUUUGGUUUAAACUCACACCACCCUGGGGAGGAAGGGAGGGAAGGAGUGAUGUUUACCCUCCAACAUUCCCCUCAGGCCAAAAAACCUUUAACCUCUUUUUAUAUUUUAAAAAUAGUUUAAUCUGUGUUAAAAUGUGAGAGUCAAACUUGGGUGCUAGAAAGCACUUUGUUUUUGAAACGUGCACAUUUCUUUUUUAUUCCCAAAGGGACGUUUUUUAGACGAGUGAAGAACAACUGUAAGGAAGCGGGGAGUGUCUUUGGUCAGUGACUGAAUUUUAGGGGGUGAGGAGACAGGUCAAGUUCAGCUGAGAGGCAGCUCUGUUGCUUUAAUGAACCAUCGUUGUAAACAACAUCUUCCUCCACUCAGAGGAGUCUGUGAAAUGGUGAACAUGGUUUAAUGGAUUCCUUCAUGGACAUUGCAGCAUGAGCCAGUAUUUUUUUGAUGCAAACUGAGUGACAUGACUGCCCUCACAGUAUUUUCCCUGGGCAUGAAACAGUUUUUCCCUCAACAGGCAUUUGCAGCAUAUAAAGGCACAUUUCUGGGACAGAAAUGAUUCACGGGGAUGACUAAGAGGCUACAGGGCCUUUUGAAGCUACAGUGCCAGUUUGUGUCCAGCCCUGGUGGUUGAUAGCUGCUACCGGCCAGUGGCCUGUGUGACUACAUGCAAAAGGAAGCUGCUGGCUCCAAUGGCUGCUUCCUUGGGUAAAGAAUCAAUCUUUUACACUGACAGGGAGGACCAACAUUUUAUGGACAAUGGCAGCUGAACUCUUUCUUUGGUUUUGCUGGAGGCCUCUGCAGAAGGAUUAGGAGCCCCCACUGCAGGAUGCAAAAAUAUGAUAUAUCCACCAUGUGCCACAGACCUGUAAUGCGUAUCCUUUUAUAAUAAGAGGUGUCUGUGAUCUUAGGCAGGAUGGCAGGUAUGUAGAUGGUGGUGUGGCUGUGUAUUCAGUAUACUGAGGAAAAGACAAAUACCGUAAAUAGUGUAAUGUAUAAAGCUUGAACACAGUAAUGACGUAGGAGCAGCCUUUGGCUGUAGUCCUACAUACUUACCUGGGUAAGCUCUAUUGGACACAGUAAACAUGAAUAUUAUUAUUAGAAUUAUUUAUUUAUACCUUCUCUCCCCCUGCCCCGGGACAGGGACUCAAGGCGGCUUGCAGAUAAAAAAUAAGAACAGCUGAAAACAUUGUUUUCCAGCUGUCUGUAACACUAGCUUUUCUGCCCAUAGGCUGUUUUGACCUUUUUGGUCCAUCAUCUACAGGAGCAACUGCUAUGAGACUUUUGGAAGAGGCAAUCUGUGCUGGAGAAAAAUGAGCAAGGAGGUGCUCUUCUCUUUGAGCUGUCUCCCCACCCCCAUGGGGGGUUCCAGAUGCAAGGUAAAACAUGUAUGGAAUUGCAUUAGGAGAAAAGCAGUUUGGAGCAGGGAAGUUGUGGGGGAGAAGCAGGGAUACUGGGAAAGCUUAAAAACCCUCAUCCCAGUUCUUUGGGACAAAUUACCCUGCCAGAAGUGUCUUGGCCUCUUCAAGUAGCAUGCUGAUCAUUCCAUCAUGAGACAAUCAGAAAACCAUUAUGGGAUUAUGGAAAAACAUUAUCCAUUAUCUUCACUUACCACUUUUGAGUUGAGGGGAUGUGUUUGCUUAUUUACCUUUCUAUGUAAAAUAAAUCUAAAGAAAAUUUCCCAAAAUGGCAAUAAAACACACUGAAAAACACUGUUAAAAUUAAUAUAAGAAAACCAAAAGCAGGAUAAAACAAUUCAGCUUAAAAGCAGGGAGCUAGAAGUUUAAGCUAUUGUAAUAUAAAGUCCAAUGGAAGCGCUUCCAACCUCUGGCGUGAAAAAGUUUCAUAGUUUCACAGUUCAUGCUGGCCCUACCAUUAGGCAGAGUGAAGCAGCUGCCUCAGGCCACAGAUGAUGGUGGGUGGGAAGAUCUUUGAGGGCAGAGAGGUAUGUGCCAUGUGACCUGCCCUGAGCCACCUAAGAGAGUGUGCUGUCCCACUGCCAAAACUGAAGUAAGAUUCCAUUGUUUUAAUGGAUGGUUUCUUUUACAUGGAGUGAGUUGGGGUCAUGAAUCUUGUCCUUUGCCUUAUGCAACAAAAUGUCCAUAGUCAGCCCUGAGUCCACGCCCUGAGUUCAUUUUUGGUGUGAUGUUGGUUUUUAUUCAACAUUUUAAAACGUUUUUAAAACUGACAAAAGAUCUAUGCUGCUGCCCUUAAAAUAUUUCUUUUAGUGCUCUGUUAUCCCUGGUGGUCCCUGUUUUUCUGAAAAAUGUGAAGUUAUUCUUGAUACAGUAACUUCUGUACUGAAUCAGAAUUUCCCAAACUGAUGUGCUCCACAACUUCUGCUGCACAGGAAAUGUUGUGGUGUUGGUAUGCAUGGUUAGAAAAAGAUUGGAAGAAACUGCAGCUGGUUGGCUUUCCAACAGCACCACAAACCUAAAUGAAAGGAAAUGGGUGAGAUCAACCCUGUUGUAUUGGCAGAAUUUGUUACAAGUCAUUGAGAGAGUUUUUUGUUGUGAUUAGAAGAGGAUUCAAGGUUUGAGGGGGGCGGGGGAGACAGAUCUCUUUGGAAUCUUCUGGGCCAUAAAAAGAACAGAUUAAAUCCUCAUAGUUGAAUCUGUGAGGGUUUAUCUCUGUUUCUCAUUCUCCAAUCUUAAAUUCAGCUCAAAUUUUCUGCAUCAGUUUACAGGGGUUUUUUUCUUUUAAAAAAUAUCCUCACCAAACGUCAUGGGUGUUUUAGUGCACAUCUCUCCUACUAUAUAUACUCUUGUACGCAAUUUUGCGUAAUAUACAGAUUUCGAUGAGCGAUUUCCCCAUACGUAAUGCAUUUUUGUAUGCUAUUUGCACUUACAUAUUUUAUGUAGCAUUUCCCUUAAUAUAUGCAUGUUUGUACACAUCUGGUUAGAGAACCAUAUCAGAAAAUUCCAAGAAGUGUGAAUUUCAAAGUAUACCUAUAUUUCAAUUUGUAUGUUGUGUCAGGAAGAGGAAGUAGGUUGGACUGAAUUUCUCCUCCAUCCCUACAUCCAAAGUAAGAGUGGGCAGGACAGCAGCCAUGCUAGAUUAAGGUUGCAAUUUAACUGUACAUCUGGGAGAUAGUCCCAUGGAACUCAAUGAGAAUUGCUAUCAUCUAGUCAUAUGCAAGAUUGUGCUGCAAGCAGUUGUAGGGCUUUGAUUUCUUUCUUUUUUUAACACUGAAAUAAUUAAUUGGCCGCAGUGGCUUAAUUUAAUCUGGAUAAUUGUUAGAUCUCUGUAUAUCAGAGUCUGCUUUUUAUUUGGGUUUGUUCUUAUAAAUCUGCAUGCCUCUGAGUGGAUGGCCAAACUGACAAUAUAUUUAAUGUUUAUUGGAGAUGUCCUGACUAGCCUGGAAGUGCUCUCUCUCUCUCUCUCACACACACACACACUGAACUGCAGCCUCUAAAAGCUAUUCUGUCUCUUGCAUGCCUCAACCCUUAGACCCAGUUGCAGCUGUUUGAAGCACGGCUGGACACUUGUUACUUCACCUGGCUUGAGCAUGUGCAGUUGGUGUGAAGCAUUCGGAUGUUAAACGUAUGGAAGGCUCUGUUGCAGCACUGCUUGAACACUUUGACUUAUCAAUGCAGCUAGAGCUGUUAUAUACUGCAGGAAAGGCCCUGUACUCAAGGACUUAAGAAUCCCGCACCCCAGAACUGCAAACAGUGCAACAUGGUGGUUCAUUCGCAUUAGCACUUUACUGUUGGUCUUGCCCUAAUUCCUACUUGGCAGAGCCCUUCCUGUUGUAGGGUUUGGCUGUGAUGAAUCAGUAUUAUAUUUGUGAUAGUAAUUAAAGCCCGUGCAGGCAUUCCAAGCACUGAACAGAACGAGCGUUGCCUAUUGCCUCCCGGGAGUGAUCUUACUCAUUGCUCUCUGUCAUAGUCUCCCUGCUUCAUGGCAAGAAGCACCCGUUUUCAUGAGAAAAGUGGGAAGGGAGAAAGCUGUUCUGAUGGGGAGUUGAGAGUAACUGCAUCCCGUGGAGAGAAAAAAGCAGCAGUGUAUAUUGUGCAGGACUUGGAUAUAAUAAUUCAUUGGGGGCGGGGUGGAUGAUAGUUCAAAUGCAACAGAUUGUGUUAUGCAAUCAUAGGAUGCUGAGCCAAACAGCAUAAUUUAUAGAGCUCGGGCCAAAGAAGAUUAGUUCCUUGGUUGUGAAAUUUGGAAUUUCCAAAAAGGAAUGGAGUCAUGCUGCUGGGGAAAGCAGCACGGAGGAGAAUGCAGGGGGGAAAGUCUGAUACUAGCUCAAUGGAUCUUUGAUCUUGAUUAUUUUUUGUUGCCAAGGUAUUGCAACAAAAACAGAAAACCUUGUAUCGCCUUCAGAGACUCACAGUCACAAGUGACAAAAAGCAUAACCCAGUGUUCAAAUUCUGUGAAAAUGUCUUUGAUUUGUUUGUUCUUAUUAUAUGCACUUAUAUCCCACCUUUCCUCCGUGGAGCUCAAUGUGAUGCAGACAGUUCUCCCUCUCCCCUGUUUUAUCCUCACGACAACCCUGCAAUGUAGGUUAGGGUGGGAGACAGUGAUUGGCCAAGGAACACGGAGUGAGCUUUGUGGCUGGGUGGGGACUAGAACCCCAGUCUCCCAGGUCUUAAUCCAACACUCUAACCACUACACCAAACUGGCUCAUAUCCUGCUUUUUCAAGAAGUAGCUCAAUUUAGAGAACACAGUUCUUGUCCAGGCCUUUUUAAAAUGUAGAUUCAAUAAGUGGAGGGAAGAUCAGGAGUGAGAUGUCGGACUUCACUCCUGACUGCCAUGCAUGUAUAGAGCCCACAGCCUGUGAAUAUACACAGUUGAUCACAUGUUGAUCAGUGACUUGCUACCAUAAUACAACCUCCACUCCAAUAAUGGGUCUAUUUAUGAUCUAAAAUGGACUGACUCUUGCCACUUUAUUUUGGUACAUGAGGACUCUGAAGUACUUGUGCUUCACAACAAGAAAAUGCUUGGAACAAAUAAGAGCCCAUGCAGAUAUAUCACAAAAUCCCUGCUCAAUUAAGACAUGAAAGAAAUGGAAGUUUUUUCACUGACUUUGCUAGAAAGUGAACUAUACCUAUAUUGGUGCAUCUAUAACAUUGUCCAUCAGAGAUGCGUAAACCUAUUCUUAGCCACAGCAAACUGCUUGGCUACAAUCAUUGUGUUGGUGGGGGGACUAGCUUAUAAUCUAUAUAAAUUAUUAUUGACAAUGCCUUUAAUUUUUGAAAAUGUGCAUGUCAUAAUUGGAGAUAUCUCAGGAUACACAGAGUCAUGUUUGCCAUCACUAAAAGCUGGAUGGAAAUUAAGGCAGUAACUCUAUGCAUAUGUACCUGGGAAUAAGUUCCAUGGACUUUUCUCCCAGGCAAAUAUGACUAGGGUUGGGUUGUGCAGGUAAAAUUUGGUUGAUUAAAAGGAGGAAGAAAGAGACAUGCUGGAGGAAGAGAAAAGCAAAGCAAAGUGAAGAAAGCCCAUGAAUUAAUAUAAUGAUGACACAUGGGUGUGCAAGAUGAGAAGGGGAAGAGGGAUGGGUUAGCUAUGUUGAAAAGUAUUUCAGGAAAGGAUGCCACAAUGCAUCCACAUUUCUACAGAACACCACAAGUCUUUCUUUAUGAGAGAGCAAGAGCUUUGUCCACAAUCCAAGGAAGAUCCAUGCACUUAUACCCCUUGAAUUAUGGGUGUUAAUUCUGUGCUUGAUUAUUGCCAUUGCCUAUAGACAGUGCUGUCUGCUUCUUCCAGAUUCAGCCAAGUCCAAUGGCUAGAUGACCUGACUAAAUCUGUUUCUGAUUUUGACACUAAAUAUUGAAAGGUUUUCUUGCCAGACCAAUGAUAGGUCCAGACUGUGGGCUGGUUUAAGUGAUUCAUACCUGGAAGUGUCCAAUGGAUUGUGUAGUAAGUACAUACUUCAUCAUAUAACAGGCUUCCUCAACCUCGGCCCUCCAGAUGUUUUUGGCCUACAACUCCCAUGAUCCCUAGCUAGCAGGACCAGUAGUCAGGGAUGAUGGGAAUUGUAGUCUCAAAACAUAUGGAGGGCCAAGGUUGAGGAAGCCUGUCAUACAACUUUCCCCAGUUAGUGGUCUGCCUGUGGGUUAGAAACUAACCAAUAACAAUUUUCCAGCAUGCCACUUUGUUUAUGUCUGAAAAAGUUUCUCACUGUCUCCCCCAGCAUUGUCACUGUCUCACCAUUUCCCCUUCAUGAUCAGGACAUUUUUCAUUAAAAAACAUAAGGUCAUUUUAGACACGUAUCCCUUAUCACCAUAGUCUCCAUGCAGAUGUAUUCUGUUAAUUAUCUGCUAAGGGAAGGCAGAGUUGUUUCUGACUUUGCAAAGUCCCUGCUACUUUAUAAUGUCACAGAAAAGUCUCAAGGGCACAUACGUACGCAAAUAUGUCCUUUGAUUUUUAUUUACUCACUGCAUCACAACUAGUGCAUAUUUGGUAGAGUAUGCAUCUGCAUUGCACAUAUAUUGCCUUAUUUAAGAAGAAUGGGAUGCCCUUAAGCCUAGCAAAUGUAUAUGGACAAGUAUGGGGAAAAUGAAGGACAAACCAAAAUGAAAUCACAUGAACUGCCUAGACAAGUACCUACCAAGCAACAUUUGUAUGUUUACCCAAAAUUACCCCCAUUGCGUUCAAUGGAGCGUACUCCCAAGUAAAUGUGGUUUGGAUCACAGGUAGCCUAAGCCUGCAGUUCUAAUCACACUGAAAGGCAGAGAGCCCCAAUGAACUCAAUGAGAUUUACUUCUGAGUGGUGCAACAGAUACAUUUCCUCAUAAUAAUAAUAAUUUCAUAACAUUUUCAUAUGUUGAUUUAAAUGUGUAGAUACAAAUCUGGAAAUAAUUAGCCGGGAAAUACAAUACAGCUCAUUGGGGGAGGGGAGAGGACGAGAGACUGUGAGCAGGUGUGCCUGCUCAGUUUACUGUCCAGGUGCAACUUCAAAGCCCCUGUUCUUCCUUCUUAUGGUUCUCUGUCUUUAAACCGGACUCAGAGAGGCCUUCAGAUAGAGGACUGUUCUCUGUAAAGUAGUACAGUAGUCUGGACUAGAUGGACCAGCAGCCUGGUCAGUUCAAGGCAGAUUCCUACAACUCUUUAGAUUUCACAGAUCAGGGUCACGUCAUCAGAAUACACUGCCGGGUUCUGGGCCCAGUGAUUGCUUCUGCGUCUCCUUGUGAUGCAUUAACCUGCCUGCUGAAGGGGAGUGCAGUCCUUGCGAGGGCAAAGAAACUGCCACGCACCUUCAAGCUGCUGAGUGGUGUGCUGCAAAACCAAAAGUGUGACUGUAUGAAAGAUUGCACCUAAGGUGCAAGGGCGGCCAAGAGUGGGACUGGAAGGAAGUGCUCCAAGGUCACAUUUGCAAAGAACUUGCAAAAGUGUGAGAAGGCGGGUGAAGAUGGGAAAUAAUAGCCAAAGGGUUCUGCAAGCCAACAAGAAGCAGCUUGCUCUCUCAGUGUGGGAGGGACUAGCCAGGGUGUUUUUGCUGCUCAGCAUUUAGAUGUUCUGGCGGGGCUCUCGUGAAGGAAGUUCAUCAAGGUCAUCUGCUUAAGGCUGCCCUCUUAAGUGGUGUUCAGCAGACAAAGGCUUGGCCCUGGGAAAUGUGGGUGCAACUCCUCCCUGAGCCAGAAACUCACCAGGAUGACUUUAGGCAGCUCGGGGUACAUUGCACUACAAGUGUAAACUACUUUGGGAUGGAAAUUAAGACAGCAUAAUGGCCAUCAAGGCUGCUCCCAGAGAAACCUAGGAAUUGUAUUUGUAUUAUCAUUUCAAGGAUUCUGACGCCAAGAACUAAAAUUCCCAAGAUUCUUGGAGGAACUGUAGUUAAGUGGGGGAGAAUGAGAAAGAAAGUAUAGUUUGUCGAAAUGCACUGUUGCCAAGUUUCAUUUCUUCAGCUGGUGACCUACCUCAUACGGUUGUUCUGAGAAUGAGUGAGACAUGGAAAUAUUACAAACUCUGAGGUUUAUGGGGAAACUAGAAGUACAAAUGUUCAGAUGGUGAACCAAUGCUAAAUAUUCACAAUCCUCCUCCUGCAAGAAACAGCCUCGGCUGACAGGACUAAAAUAAAAAGCAGCAAGCUCCAUUAAAUUGUUCCUGGCCCUCAAAGGCUAAGAAAACAGGGCCGUUAAAGCAGGGUGGGUGGAUAGGCAAUGGUCAGAGAAGUGGGCCAAAUCAGCUGCCUCUCACAUCUUUAGAGCAACACCAAAAAUCACGAGCUGUUUCAUCAGUCUGAAGAGCAGAGGGCCUGGUGAAUGGCUACUCUUAGAUGGCCAAAGGAAGCACAGGUAAUUGAAUAGGCCUGUGUCUCUCUCUCUGUCCUUCAGCCUGAUGGAAUGGAAAGAACGGACUGUUUCAUGCCAGCUGAUCACUGUAUGGACUUUGUAAUUCUAAGAACUGUGGCCUAAGCUUGCUUUCUCCCCUCUACUUUCCCAAUCAUGCCAUGUCUUCUAGAUUGUUUCAUUACAGUAAGCCGCUCUGGGAACCUUUUUGGCUAAGUGGGGUGAAAAUGCUUUAAAUAAAUAAAAUGUUUGGAAAUGCAUUUUCCUUUCCUGAAAAUAUGCAUGGCUGAUGUAUCCUCCCCUCUGCUUAGAUCCUGAUGAGGUUGAGCCUGGGGGUUCUCUGUGACACAAAAAGAGUGUCUCUUUGUUGUUCAAAUGAACUUUUGUUUCUUUCUCCCCCAGCAGCUUGUCUUUAUCCUAUGAAAUCAUUCAGAAAGCUUUAGAGGAAUUAAAGAAGGCUUUAUUCCCAGGAGUCAAAGAUGGGGCAACUUGCUCCAGGGUCAGUGUGAGUAUCAUGUGGAUGCAAGCUCAUUAUUGUCCGACUGCAAGGGUAGCCGGUCCUGUGACAAUAAAGCAGAAGGCUGAAAAAGUUCUCCACCCAUUGCUGGAAUGUAGGCAUCCUGGCAGCAACUGUUUACCACCACUUUUGCAAGAACAGAGAACAGGAAGCAUAGAAAAGAUAAGAGGGGUGGGCAGGACAGAUUGGCCAGAAGCUGGAUCAACAUAAUGGAAUCAAGAAGUAAUUUAUUAGGUCAGCAAUGCUCACCGUCCUUCUCAUACACUUGUAAACAGAGUCCUGUAAUAUAAUAACAUACACUCAAGCAUCUUCAACUGAGAGUUCUGUCCAACUUCUUGAAAAUCUCCAAUAAAGCUUUAAUUGUUCAGCUGCUCUUAUAAUUAAACACGUCCUCCCCCCGAUAUUUAAUCUAAACCCACAGAUUCUUGUCCUGCCUUUAAUCAUUAAAAAAGACCCAUACUUUGAAACUGUCAGCACAGUCUCCAACCUCUCACCUUUUAUUUGGGCAAAAUACAGUGUGCAUAGUUCUCCUCUGAAUCACUUUCAACACUUCAACGUGUGUUUGUCUGUUUAACAUUUAUAUCCCACUUUUCCUCCAUGAUGGAACUCAGGGUGGUAUUCAGGAAGGUCCCCAUAAGGGCUCCCAUCCAGACCCAGACCUACUUAGCCUCAGCAAGGCUGUUGUAAAAAGGUAAAGGCAAAGGACCCCUGACAGUUGUCCAGUUGCAGACGACUCUGGGGUUGCGGUGCUCAUCUCGCUUUACAGGCCGAGGGAGCUGGCAUUUGUCCGCAGACAAUUUUUCCUGGUCACGAAACCAGAGCAGUGCACAGAAAUGCCAUUUACCUUCCCGCUGGUGCGAUACCUAUUUAUCUACUUGCACUUUGAUGUGCUUUUGAACUGCUAGGUUGGCAGGAGCUGGGACCGAGCAACCGGAGCUUACCCCGUCACGGGGAUUCGAACUGCCGACCUUCUGAUUGGCAAGCCCAAGAGGCUCAGUGGUUUAGACCACAGCGCCACCCGCGUCACUCCCCACCCCCCUUCUACCAAGACAGUGUCAUCAUUUUAUUUGGAAAAACAGUUGCUCCUGUAGCUGCAGGUGGUAAACAAGGCAAACAGGAACUCGAGUCUUGCCUCUCUCCAUCAGAACUAUAGCCUCUCUCAGAUAGUGUUGCAUAGCAAAUGGUUUCAAAAUCUUAUAUUUGCUUCUCCUUUCCUUAGUUCAUAUUUUACAGUUGUCUGUUGAAUUUCAUGUUAUUGCUAUCUACUGGGUUCCCUUUAACAUUUUAGCCCUUUCUCUAGUGUUGCAAUCUUCCCCAGUUUUAGAUCACCUGUGAAUUUUAUAGGUUUCUCAUCUUUCCUUUCAUCCAAGUCGUUGAUGAAAAUAUUGAACAGUGCCAGACCCAGCAUUGAACUCAGCAGAAUGCCACUGAAUACCCGCCUCAACCGCUUUUCAUUUAUUACCUCCUUUUGUGUGCCGCUUUUCAACCAAUUGUUGGCUGCCUUUUAUUUAAUAAUGAAUUGCACCUGCAAAGCAACCUGAAAGCCAGUGCAGACGUUAGAGAUCAGGUUCAGUGUAACCAUAUUCUGUACCAGCCAAGAGUUUUCAAAUAGACCAAACAGCAUGCCUCCAGGACAGGACAAUAAUCUGACACAGAAGCUACCCAAGACAGGGACAACAGUCUUCAACAUACCUCUGAGAAGGAAGGCUGCAAUUCUUAAGCAGUCCCAGAUUGUAACCGCCCCCCUCCCCUUUCCUUUUGCUGGAAAUCCAGACGAUAUACAAGAUCUCCCCAGUGAUGACACAAUGGAAACAAUAGAGCCAUUCACUGUCUAUUGAGUCUCUUACAGUACAAUCCUAUGCAUGUUUACUGAAAAGUCCUCAUUGGCAAAACAAAGAUGGGCAGCAUUCUCCAAACAAUGUAUUUAUGCUAUUAAACUAGGUAUAGUUCUUAUGAAUAAAAAAUACUCACAUGGCUAGACAGACUCAGGAAUACAUUUGGUAUGGUUAGAAUUUGAAUGGUAUUCCUCACCAUAAAUUUGAAUGCAUGUGCACACAUUGAAAGUUAUGGUGCUAUAAAUGGUAACCUAAUAAUCUAAAUUGAUUGUGGGGGGGGGGAGCAAAUCAGGCAACAAUACAUAGGGUUCUUUUGCUGGUUGGUGUGGCCUGAUUUCUACUUGCAGGCUUAUGAACUGGAGGGACUGAUUCUUUGCAGUGUGUGCUGACUCACCACAGCCCAAGUACUAUGCCAAAUGUUAGUUCCACCUGGUGACUCACUUGAAUGGUAUGGCUAAAGAACUGGUUGACCCAGCACUCAAUGGAAUAGUCUGCUCCUUGUCCGGUCUGGCCUUGUGCUUGCUUAAGUGUAAGUAACAUAAGCUUACUCUUCCACGUGAAGAGAUUUCUAUGCUCUGCUUUGUCCAGUUCACAAAAUGAGUCCCACUAUUAAUAUCUUCCCCACAGGAAUACCAUGCACUUACACACACACACACACACACACACACACACACAAUGGGUCUAGGGUUGGCGGCCCACAGUCCGCAUUAAACUUGCCAUACCUCUCCAUCCAGUCACAUGAGCCUUUUCCCAUCCCAUUAUAACUGGGUGCUGUGGAUCCCAGAUGAAUUGCUCUGGUUGAGGGUCCCAAGAACCUACUUUUCUGUGUUGCUCUUGGCACUUCAGUUCUAGUUGCCAAGCUUCCUUCUGGGGAUACCAAAACACCCUCCUCUGCAGUAACACAUGAAAAUAGGGCUGUUGGGCUGGAAGGCAGUACACAAGGACAGUAGAUUAGGGCAGGUGUGGGUACAUUUGCAUCACAGUUGUCAGCCCUAUGUGACUGAUAUAACUUUACCCCUUCAUGCCUUAUGUCUGAAAUUUCCUGGACACAGCCAUCAGCAACAGUGUCCAGGCGGGACUCGAAAACUUUUGUGUCCAGUCAGUGGAAACUUUGGGUUUGCAUACCUGUAGAUUCUUGGGUACUUUAUGCACAGACACACAAACACUCUUAAGAGGCAGCCAGCCAAGCUUUGUGUGUGCAUGUGCAUCUGUUUGCUUGUGGUUCUCCCUUGGCUCUCCCUUAUUCUGAAUAAUAAUUUCUAUAGUGUUUUUAGCUGUUAAAAUGAGCUAGCAGUUGCCAUCACACCAACAACUGAGGUAAGCUCAGGUUGAGAGACAGUAGCUUGUCUAAAGAGAUCAUAAAGGCAAAACACACAGUUGAAUCGGAGUUCUCUACACUGAAACCCAACGCGCUUGACCACUGUGUGCAUCAUGUUCUGGUCUUUCAUCACUUAACACCAAAUCCUUGCUCAUGUUUAGCAGGAAGGAUGGUCCAUCACUUCUAGAUGAAAGAACUGGGGUGCAGGGAAACAGGGCUUGUGAGAUUUACCUGCCUCAGGUGAUCUGCCUUUGCCCAUUGACAUAAAGGGGAGCACCGUUUGUUGCUACACCUCAGGCAACCCUUGCUACUUCCAAGCUUUUCUGAAGUUGAUACACAAGGAUCUAAUCCAGCAUGUCCAUUGGCUGUGCCUCUGGAUAGUACCUUGGUUGGGAUGCUUACCCUGCUAUCGCUUGACAUUAUGACUUAAUUCUUGUCAGAUGCACUGGCAACCAUUGCACUUAAAUGUGUACAACAAACACCCACUUGCCUGCCUUUGCUCAUUUGUUCCUUUCCAGCCAGGGCAGGAAACAGCUCAGUCUUUAUGAGCUAAAGUCGAAGAGCUACUUGAGCACAGACUCUAGGAAAUGCAAUUGCUUUGUUAGGUUAUUUCCACACUUCCUCCUUUUCAUAACCUCCUGUAAAACCUUAGUGUUUGUAUAAGAAUCCAGGGGAAACACAUGGUGGUGAUGGUCCCUUGCAUGCGAGAAACAAAGAGCUUCUAGCAGGCCCUUCAAAUUCUUCCUAUCUGACAGGCUUGAUAAAGGAAGUGGAUCCCAGAUUUAAUGGGGCAGUGAUCAACAUUAUUGUGCUAAGGCAGCAGCUGUAUGCAUAGGAUUGGGCUGCAAGUGAACCAUCCUUGCUAAUGUACGGUAUGCCUUCGUCCAGUCUUCUUCUUUUUCAUUAGUCCACUUUUCUGCUGUUUUCUACUAUCCCAGCCCUAACCAACCUAGUGCUCUCCAGGUGUUUUGGAUCACAACUCCCACCAGCCUGUGCUGGCUGAGGUUGAUGGCAUUUGUAGUCCAAAACAUGUGGAGGGCACAUGUAGUUAAGGCUGCACUAGCCCUUUAUUAUUAUUAUUAUUAUUAUUAACCCUCCCACAUACCAAUUUGCUCUCAUUACAUUUGUGUAAAUAUAAAUAAAAAAUAUUUUUAAAUAUUAUUUUAUUUCACUCAUUGGGCCAUUAUACCCUGUCACUGCCUUUAUUUAUAUGGCUAACCAAAAUAUCUUCAUUGCAAAUCUGUUUAAAGUCAAAAUACUGUACAUUUAAAAAAAUCUCCCUUUAAACUUUCCCCCUUCAAACACACACUCUCUCCUCAGUAAGAAGGAAAUGGAGACAUGAGUAGGGAUGAAAAGGAAGAUAUGCCCACAUAUCUGGAAGCUGGAAGUUGUUCAAGCCCAUCCUGUGGCUGAAGGGUCCCUAGUUUGGAAAUAAAUUAUGUCUUUGCUUAGAGGCCAGUUUGAAACAGAGUGACAUUAAUGCAAACUUUCCCGAGGCUUAACAUUGAAGGAGCCAUUCUUAGGCCUCAAUCUUAUUUCCUGCUUCCUGGGAGUAAGCCCCACUGAACUCACAGUGGCUUACUUUUGAACAGGCAUGUGUGGGAUUGUGCUGCUAGCCUCCUUUCUACUCCUGCAUGAAAGCUGCAAUCCUGUCUACUUGCUUUGUAAUAAGCCCUUUGUACUGGGACUUCAAAGUAGACAUUCAUUAAUGGCAUACUCCUUAUUUACUACAUAUUCCAUCUAACCUUCAAGGAGCUCAAGGUCACAUACAUUAAUACCCUUUACCUUUUACCAUAGAGGUGUUGUGAAGGUAAAAUGGAAUAAUUGGGGGGGGGUCAAUAAUGAGUUUGCAUCCACAUGAUGCUCACACUGACCCUGGAGCAAGUUGCCCCAUCUUUGACUCCUGGGAAUGAAGGCUUCUUUAAUUCCUCUAAAGGUAAAGGACCCCUGGAUGGCUAAGUCCAGUCAAAGGGGGCUAUGCGGAGUGGCGCUCAUCUUGCUUUUCAGACUAAGGGAGCCGGUGUUUGUCCACAGACAGCUUUCUGGGUCAUGUGGCCAACAUGACUAAACCACUUCUGGCACAACAGAACACUGUGACAGAAGCCAGAGUGCACAAAAACACUGUUUACCUCCCCGCCACAGUGGUACCUAUUUAUCUACUUGCACUGGCGUGCUUUUGAACUGCUAGGUUGGCAGGAGCUGGAACAGAGCAAUGGGAGCUCACACCAUUGCAGAGAUUCAAACUGCCCACCUUCCAUUUGGCUAGCCCCAAGAGGCUCAGUGGUUUAGAACACAGCGCCACCUGCAUCCUGGGAAGUUUAGUCUGAGAGAGUGUGACUGGCCAAAGGUCACCCAGUGAGAGCUCAGUUGUAAAGUGGAGAUUUGAAUCUGGGUCUCUCCAGUCCUAGUCUGGUGCUCUAAUCACUACCUCACCCUGGCUAGGGCUGUGGAAUAUGCAUAGGAUGGGACUGCAUAUUAGGAAUCAAAUAGCUGGGCUGGGUGAGAUCAGGAAAGUCAAUCUGGCUGUUCCACAGUUACAUCACCCUUGUUGCCUGUCCAGUUUCGAGUGGGAGCCACUUGUAGACUAAUUGCAGGCAGUCGGUCAUGAGAUUCAUGCACACCACUUCAGGCUGGUUUGAACAGAGGAGCUUCAGUGAAAGGACCAGCUUGUUUAAGUGAUUGUGUCCAUAAGGAAAAACAGAUGAGUAGUCUCCGAAAUAAUUGGGACUUUCCCAUGGUAAUAUACACGCAUAGAUUGCAUUCCUCUACAAAUUAUUUCUGUUUCCAGAGCUCUGCAUAUCUUGUCAGUGUGUCAAGUUGUGCCAUCUUGUCAGCCUUGCUUGGGGUGCUUUGUGAUGUGCUGGUGGGGAAAACAUCCAGGUGUGGGCUGUAGCAAUAGAGCAGAAUUGUAACCUGCAGACCACCUGAUCAGCAAGAGAGCAAACUUCAAUGGAUAAUGUCACAGUUUGUGCAUUGCUAACAGACACGUCCCUACAUGCAUUUAUUUGUUUUACCAAGUCUUCUUAGGCAGGCAGGCUUUUGAAAAAGCACAAACCCACACACAGAGGGGAUAUAUUUUCAAGAAAUCCCCAACUGGGAUCAUGACCUAGUUAAGAAAUUGUGAAUUAGUAACUUGUUUCACUGUAAAAAGAAAGCUAACUCACUUGGUUGCAACUGAAGAAAUAAUAUUACUAAUCUCCCUACCACUGCCAUUUAGAAAAUAUAUAUUGUAUCUUUGGAAGUUUCAGCUCUUCAAGGUCAUGUUGCUGGAUUGUUCUAAGAUCCAAACUAUUCUUUGUGCUCCUUUGGCAUAACGUACCUUUACUCUUCCUGCUCCAUGUGAUACACUCAACAUCAUCAACAAUUUAGUCUAACCUUCUGCACCUCAAAUAGUGUAGUUGAAGUGACUGCUACAACAACUGCUUCAAAAGAAUGAGGCCUUCAAAUAAUGUUCUAUAUUCUUUGCCUCUAAGCAGGUAUAGAUAUACAUUAUUGGACCCCAAACUAGAACAUAUGGGCACACUGAACCUGAAUGACAACAUCUAUCUCUCUGGCUAGCAGGUGAGUAUAUAGCCUGACUUCCUCUCAACUUAGAAAUUUCACUGUGAUUGGUUCAAUUGUCUGUGCCACUGCCUGGCAAACAGAUGCCGCUGGCAUGAUUCUUUUUGCUUGUUUCUGAUCCAUCUUGGAUAGAGCCUCACAAUUCAGAGGAUGCCUCUUCCAUGGAUCCUAGUGGUAUGGCCCUUGCCAGAAUUUGUCAGUCAAGCAAUCCUGGGACAAAGAGUAGAUCAGCAGCACAAUGUCCAGACUUAGAACUGACCUAACCCAGAGUUAGGAACCUGUGGUCCUCCUGAAGUUAUUGGACUCCAACUCUCAUCAGCCCCAGCCAUAUGGCCAAUGGUCUGGGAUGGUGGGAGUGGUAGUCAAACAACAUCUAGAGGGCCACAUAAUCCCCAUCCCAGCAUAGAAGCAAGGCUAGACUUUGUACCAUUUGGGGCUUGUGAGAUCUUUGAGGGAGCAUGGAAAGGUUGGAAAGUUUUCCUACCCUUGAUGGCCAUUAUGAUCCUAGCUAAGCAGAGUACAGGAAGAUUUUAAAGAGGUCCAUAUAUUGAUACCAAAAAGGAUAUGGCUUGUGCUUAAUUCUUCAAUAAACUCUAGAUCUGAGGUGGGAACCUGUGGACCUCCAGAUGUUGCAGGAUUGCAAAUCCCAUCAUCCUUGACUAUUAGCUAUAUUGGCUGGGACUGAUGGGAGUUGGGGGAACCAGUGUUUCCCAACCUCUGAUCUAGGUACCAGUUUGAAGUAAAGUAAUGGAUGCAUUGCUAAGAGCUGGAGAUCAGCAGCUGCUUCUGAAAAUGUCAGCCUUGGUUUCCUCACCUGUAAAACAGGAGUGAUGAUUACCUGCCUUCAGGGCAUUCUAGGGCUUAAUUUGCUGACAUCAACACAGUGCACUCAACUCCUCAGCUGGAAGAUGCUAUGGUAAUAUAUAAUAUCAUAUGAUUAUAAAUCAAAGGGAAUUAGCCCAUCUACAGAUCAAUCCUGCCUAUGUGCAUUGUGAACCCCUUGGGCAAGGGUUUAACUUUUAAUUGGGAUGUUGAACCCAACAUAUUUGCUGCAUUUCAAAUAUUUUAAUAUAAAAAUCAAAUAAGUCAAGGUGGAGGGAAGCCUAAUAUAUUUCUCUUGGAUCACAUACAGCAGAAUGUUCAUGAUAGGGUUGUCACAAAUAAUCUGCAAAACAACAUUUAAUCAUAUGUAUAUGAUUAGUAUUAGCUAUAUUUUCAUAUGCAGGUAGAUCAUUAUUAUUUUUAUUAGUUGCAGAUGGAAAGCAAGUGGAUGAGAGCUCUAUAUGUGUCAGAGGUGGGGGACUUGUGGCCCUCAAGAUGUUAUUGGAUUUCAACUCCCAUUAGCCCCAACCAUAUGAACUAAGGUCAGAGAUGAUGGGCACUGUUAGGAAGUCUGCAGUUUGCAUGCAAGCCUGCAAUUGGAAUCAUAGAAUUGUAGAGUCAGAAGGGACCAUAAGGGUCAUCUAGUUCAACCCCAUGCAGUGCAGGAAUCUUUGCUCAACGUGGGGCUUGAACGCACAACCCUGAGAUUAAGACUCAUGUUUUACUGACUGAGCCUUUUUUGUGUGUGUGGGACAAAAUUCUCACAUGUAUUCUAACACUCAAGUCUAGGGAUCUUUUGAUGCUGAGACCUGGACACACUCCAGAAUUUGGCACCCCAAUAGUUAACACAGACAACAGAGAUAAAUCAAAAGUAAAUUUUAUUAGGUCCAAAUUAGCUCAUUGCCUGAAAAGGGAAUUAGCACAUUUACUAAAAAUAUAGAACAAAAUCAAUAGACAGCACACUAAUGCUAGUCUGAGUUUAGGAGAGUUAAAACUAGUGCAAGAGUUAUUUUUAGAAGCAUUCCUAUGGGAAAGGGGGAAUUGGAUGAGCCCAGACAAGGCUGAGGUGGGGAGAGAUUUGGCUAAAGGGUUGAAAGUGGUGCCAGGAGAGGGAAAUGGGUGUUGAGUAUUGCUGCUUGUUUUGUAGAGAGAGAAUAGGAGGUUGUCAGGGAGGACUGGGUAGUGACUUUGUGGGAUUUUGGGGAUGGUUUUAGGGCAAGAAUAAGAAGAAAGCAAUUGUGUUUGGAGCAUGGGCACGGCAAGGGGAAUAAAGAGAGCAGGUCUCUCCCAGAAAGAGGGACCUGAUGGGAGUUGAACAGAUGAGAGGGGAAGGAGGGCUUCCGCAACUGAUGGGUUGACUGGGGAUGGGGGGGGGGAAUUUAACACCUUUCCUUGUUCUGCAAGGCUGGGGCUUGGUGUGGUGGAGGUAAGAAAACCUCUUCAGCACCAGUAAGUAAUAUAGAAAGGAGAAGGAACGGUGGAGGAGUCCACACAGAGGAGUUCCUGUGCAGAGAGUUGAGGCCAAAGCUUUCUCAUAUUUGACAUAAAUCCUCUCUUCCUGACAGUGAAUGAGUGCCAGUCAGGAAGAGUUUAAUUUUUUUGCAUAAUGGCUUUUAGAAAUGUAUCUUAUUCUGCUGUUCCGGUGAGAUGGGGGAAAGGCUUAACACAUCUUUUGGGCUCUUCUUGCAAGAGCCUUAGGCUGCUGAAAACUACUUGGUUAGUAAUUGUCAGGGAGUGGGGUGGAAGGAAUGACAUGUAGGUGCCUAUAUCUUGGUUGAAUACUUCUAGAAGGAGUGAGCCUAAUGCUCUCUUGCUUUUUUUAAAAUUGACCAAUGAGAAGGGAGGGACGGCAGAGAUUUACAGUGACAACAAAUUCAUCAGCUGCUUUUGGAACAUGUGAGUUUGGCUUUCUGCAAUGGAGUUUCCCUUGAGGCCUCUCCAGGCCAAAAUCUGGCCUUCUGAGAUGCAGGCUAUCAUAACAAAAACUGGAUAUAUUUAGGAGUGUUUCAUAGCAGAAAUGUAGUCCAAUAACAUCUGAGUGCCAAAGGUUCCACAUCACUGAUCUAAAGUCAGGUUUGGGGUACCUUUGGCCCUCCAAAUGUUGCUGAACUACAACUCCCAUCAGCCCCAGCAAGCAUGGUCAAUGGGAGUUGUAGUUCAGCAACAUCCGAAGGGCCAAAGUUUCCCCACUUCUGGUCUAAGUUAACACAGUAAGUUUCUUACUAGGCAGGGAUUUAAAUCAAGGUCCAGCAGAUUUCUCAUCAGAUUAAAUUUCUCUCUCGUUCACUGAGCCCACUAAAUGUGUUUCAAACAUGAAAAUUAAUGAAGAGAAGUGGAAAUGCGAUUGGUUAAACUAAUGUUGUCAUCACACAGUCCAACGUUAGAAUGGAUUAUUUGUUUGUUUUUGGUUUUUUAAGGUGGGUUGGUUAGCUGAGGAAGAACAACAGUGGAGGUGGAAGUUACAUUAAGUACAUCAUAACCAAAUGCUACUUUAGCUGCAAACAAGGAUUAUAAAAGAGCAAAGUUAAAA